GAUGAAGAACGCAGCAAAAUGCGAUAAGUAAUGUGAAUUGCAGAAUUCAGUGAAUCAUCGAAUCUUUGAACGCACAUUGCGCCCGCUGGUAUUCCGGCGGGCAUGCCUGUUCGAGCGUCAUUUCAACCCUCAAGCCCCCGGGUUUGGUGUUGGGGAUCGGCUCUGCCCUUCUGGGCGGUGCCGCCCCCGAAAUACAUUGGCGGUAUCGCUGCAGCCUCCAUUGCGUAGUAGCUAACACCUCGCAACUGGAACGCGGCGCGGCCAUGCCGUAAAACCCCAACUUCUGAAUGUUGACCUCGGAUCAGGUAGGAAUACCCGCUGAACUUAAGCAUAUCAAUAAGCGGAGGA
rnacentral:misc_RNA from 1 species